CUUGGAUGGCCUGAGGAAAUACCACACUCGAUACUGCAGUCCACCUGCUUUGGUCAUGACCACCCAUUGGGCUCAGCGGAGAGAGAUUCCCUGCACGCCGUCUCCUUGGAAUAUUAAUGGGCUUCUCCUGGGAAAACUGCCCACAGAAUGGGCCACUCCAUCGCUGUCUCUGUUUCCGCUCAGCUGUCCUGAGGGUGCGUGAGGGUGUUCGGUACAAUCCGGUCUGGAGAAACCUCAAGUACACCUCAAACUUUUGUUUUGAUGUUUCAUUAAGAACUCUUGAAUGUUUCUUUUUCCACCCCCCAGAAUGUCAGUAAAAUAUAUUACCACUUUUAUUACACAAUAAAAAGCACAGGA